AACAAAGAGUUAUAGAUAAUUAUAUAUGUGAAGGUUUAUCAUAUUUGAAAAUAUUCGCCGAAAUGUACUUUGUAUCAGUAUUUACACGAUGGCCACACUAUGCAAUUUUACCUUAGUUCCAUCAAACAGUUUGCAUAGAUCUUUUAUUACUAAAUAUAGAAUAAAUGCUCAUGCAUCAUGUAUAGAAACAGGCAGAUACUAUAGUAUAGCCUGAAAUAAACGUUUUUGAAGUAUGUGUGAUAACAAUGCUAUUGCAGAUGAGUAUCUUUUUAUUUUAUUUUUAAUUUCUGCAGCAAAAUUACGUAAUGGUUAAUUAUUCAAGUGCUUAUUUUUAGUUUAACAUGUCUUUAUGUCAUACUCUGAUUAAUUCCUUCAUUGUGAUUUGCAUUAUUUGUGCAUCAAACAAUAACAAUCAAAACCAAGGAGUAAACAAAGACUCACAAAACCAAAGGUCAUUUACAUAAACAGUUAUAAAUAAUAAUUAAGAAACAACACGAACUCCACUAAAAACCGGGAGUGAAAUCAGAAGCUCCAGAACGGUAAUCAUUUCCGGCAUCGUAUACGGCACCCGUCGUGUUAUUUUGCUGUCCAGUUCGGUAAUGAUGGAAGGUUAUCAUGACUGAGGAAGAAUAUCAUAUAUGAUUUCUGACGCACUUUUGUCAUAAUGGCCAAUCAGCUCAUGAUGGCGACCGUAACAUUUCUUGAGUGAUGACCUUAAUUUGAUUGAUUCAUAGCCCUGUCUUAGCAAUUUUUGAGAAAGCAGUAUAAAUGUUAUAUUAUGCUGUAUAUUAUCUAUUGAAUAUCUAUAUUGGGUAAAUCCAAUAAGCUGUUUGCUUACGGAA
rnacentral:lncRNA from 1 species